AAACCAGCUGACACAUCCUAAGAACUCAUGUUUUUAGUAACGAAAAGAAGGUACAACCUGAGUUCUAGGAUGACUAUCAUCAACUGCUGGAAUGAGACAGAUUCAGUGGAAAUUCACGAUGAAGGAAACCAAGGCUCAGAGGAAAGCAUGUCCUUGAAAAGGUUACACAGUGAUUCGUAGGACAACUGGGAUUGGAACCUCUGCAGAUGACUUCCAGACCAUUAUGUAUCAAUAUCUAGGUCAAGACAAAUGGAAUUGCUGGUUCUCUGGGCUCCAUGGUUACCUAUUCUUUGUUUAUUCCUCUGUGUCACUCUGACAGUCACUAUUCACAUGAGCUGUGCCUGUUCCAGGACUGACAAUGUACUCUGUGGAUGAGAGCAGAGGUACUGUGGCUGGCUCUCACAGCAUCCCUGGCAGAGCUGAAUCACCUAAAGCCACGUGCAGAUCAAGGAGGAGAUUAACCAAGAUGGCGGAGUAGAAGGACGUGCUGUCACUCCCUCUUGCGAGAGCACCAGAAUCACAACUGACUGCUGGACCAUCAUUGACAGGAAGACCCUGGACUUCACCAAGGAGGAUACCCCACGUCCAAGGACAGAGGAGAAGCCACAGUGAGACGGUAGGAGGGGCGCAAGCAGAGUAAAAUCAAACCCCGUAACUGCUGGGUGGGUGACUCACAGACUGGCGAACACUUAUACCACAGAAGUCCACCCACUGGAGUAAAGGUUCUGAGCCCCACGUCAGGCUUCCCAACCUGGGGGUCAGGCAACGGGAGGAGGAAUUCCUAGAGAAUCAGACUUUGAAGCCUAGUGGGAAUUGGAUUGAAGGACUUUGACGGGACUGGGGGAAACAGAGACCCCACUCUUGGAGGGCACACACAAAGUAAUGUGUGCAUCAGGACCCAGGGGAAGGAGCAGUGAGCCUGGGGGAGACUGAACCAGACCUACCUGCUGGUGUUGGGGGGUCUCCUGCAGAGGCGAGUGGUGGCUCUGUUUCACCGUGGGGAUA